UACGGAGGAUCCAAGCGUUAUCCGGAUUCACUGGGUUUAAAGGGUGCGUAGGUGGAAUGACAAGUCAGUGGUGAAAACCUGCAGCUUAACUGUAGAACUGCCAUUGAUACUGUUAUUCUUGAGUACAUUUGAUGUGAGUGGAAUGUGUCGUGUAGCGGUGAAAUGCUUAGAUAUGACACAGAACACCAAUGCGAAGGCAGCUCACAAAACUGUAACUGACACUGAGGCACGAAAGCGUGGGGAUCAAACAGG
rnacentral:rRNA from 1 species